GGAAGUGUUAGAAGUGUCCUUUUGUGUCAGAAAGACUUUACAAAAUGUUGAGAAGGAAUCCUAAGCUGAUUCCAACAACUAAGAAAGGUGGACUAGCUACUCCUUCAUGGACAGACAGUGAGUUCAAAUCAUUGUUAAGACAGCACAUGGACUCAAUAGUGACAGAGUCAGUCAGAUUGGACUUGAUUAAAAAAUUUUGUAUUGAUCCAGAAAAAGUAUGGUCAAUUGAAGAAUGUAAAAAGGUACUAGGAUCAUGUAUUCGCAAAAACAAUGUGAAAGGCAUUAUCUGCUGCCACAGAGAAAUUGGUUUAGCACUAGCUAUGCAACAUUCUCAGCGUACCUCAGAACUAGAGGAACAGAACAAAGAGCUCUGAGCUAGAGUAUCCUCUUUGACUAAGAAAUUGAAUCGCAACAAAGCUGCAGCAAAAACUGUGGAAGAAGUUAGUCAGACUGAUAACAAUUAUCCUGACUUACAAGCUUUCUUUGAAACAGAUGUAGCCCUCCAGUCAGUAACUGAUGUGCCUGUAGAUUCAGUAAAGGUAUGUGCUACUUGGAAAAGAAACUCUGAUGUCAAAGCCAGAGUAAAGACUGCAGCAGCAUCUUUUCAGGUCAAAACAGAGAACCAACAGAAACAUAUAAGUCCUAAGAAGGAGGGCAGUUGUCAUUUUUGUGGUAAAACUGGACACUGGAUGAAAGUGUAGAAAAAGCAAGAAGACAUUAAGAGAAAUGAACAGCUUUACUCAGCUCCUACUCAGUCAACUUACCACUCUGAAGCUGCCCCUCCCCACAUCACCUAACUGUUGGAGCAGCUUGCUCAGGUGUUAACUGUAAGUGCUGUGGGUGCUUAACUUCCCCGGUAAUGUACAACAAAGAUGAAACAUCCUUUGUAAAUACGUUGACUGUCACGUCCUUUCAUUGAGAAAACGUUAAGUACACUCACAGCCUUCAAAGCUAUACUAAAGCACACUCCAGUCACUCCUAUUCUUUUUGGGUUAUGAUGUCUUGUUAUAACUGAUGUUUCAUUAGAGGAUGGAGAUGUCACACAGUAAAAUUCGCACACCAGCUACAGGGACAGACUAGGACACACACAGACCAGUGAGGAGCCCAGGGAAGAACCGAAGUGCAACAGGCCUCUGGGGCCAACCCUGUGGUGAAGACUUCCUCAUAGGUUUCCCCUGUCCGUAGUUUUAUCCCCACCUCACUGGUCCAUAGGUGUCAAAUUACUUAAAACUAGGUUGAGAAAAACCCUAUACGAUCACCAGAUUUAAAACCACUAUACGAUCUACAGAAGUCUAAAAAUGUCUAUGCAAGAAUACUGCUGGUCUGCUGUUUCUUUGUUUUCUUUUGUUGCAGGUAUGUGUGCAUGAGAAGUCAUUUCCAUAUGUGACACCCUGGUGUAAAGCAUCACUUCAGACAUCCAUGAACAAGCUUCAUGAGGACAAAGAGUCAUCUGAGUGAAUCUACAUGCGAAAUGGACUACAGAAAACAGACUUCACAGCUAUUCGGAUGCCAUGGACUUCAAGACUUCCACUCUUAUGCUACAUGAUUUUUUCUGUGUCAUCAUGUAGUUUUUACAACGUGUUACUAUCCAUGCUAUAUGUGUCAACAGUUAUGGUUCUAAAAAUACACCUAAGUAAAUCUAGUACAAGACACAGAAUAAGUUAUACGUGCCUGUAGCCUUUUCAAGUUACAUGACUGAAGAUGGGGCUUAUGUUAAGAAACAUAGGCCAUAGAAUGGACUUAUGAAAGUUUAAAUUUGUAUUAUGUGAGAGUUAUUAGAACUCUCAAUGGGAGGACUGUGGGAUUACAAAUUUAUAAAAUGUUAAAUCUAGGUUCCAAUAUAAUAGUAGUCUUUUUGGGGUAAUAAAGCUGACAUCCAAGAAGCUCAAAUCAGGAAAAUCAAGUGUCUGAGACAUUAACCUUUUGUCUUUGUGCUCUUCCUUGCCAUUUGGCUUUUUAAGCUCAAGGCACAGCUGUGCCUUUUGUCUCUAUGAUAAUGUGAAGGUAUCAGCGAUAC